rnacentral:lncRNA from 1 species
UUUGCGUUACAAAAGCAUGCUCAUUCGCACCUAACGCUAAGAUUCGCACCGUUACACGAACUAACGCGAACUAAUGCGGACUUUACGCGAUCCACCCGUCAUAGUGUGUCGUAGUCAUGGCGAGCAUGACCACAAUGCUGAACGUCAGCGAUUGUACCGACAAUGACAACAUGUACUAGCUUUUUAUUCACUAUCAGUCCAAGGCUUUAAUGAAUGUAUUGAUUCAAGGAUCAGUCUAUCACAACGAUAACGGCGAAGGAAAAGAAGCCAAACUAACCAUACAAAUUGUGGCAAAGAUGUCAUAUGUAUUAUACAGUAAAUGCUAUUUUUGUACUGGGUUAAAUACUGGCUUAACAGCGACGCAGAUCGGUCGUGCGAUGAUGCCGUGCGAAAUCUUGCCGCCACCGAAAAGUGCGUAACAGCAUUACCUACAUUUGCGUUUUUAUGGCAUUGUAAAUUUGCAUUUGAUUAAGUGGUUCACCAUUUUUGGCAGGCAAAAUGGACGCUGACGCGGAACACAGUGCUUUAAACACACAGCAUCAAGCACGCUACAAGGCUAAAAAUCAAUAUGCUUAAGGGGGUGUUUCCACUUGGAUUAAAAGUCGCGGAUGAAGGAA